GACGAACGCUGGCGGCGUGCCUAAUACAUGCAAGUCGAACGCGUGGCGGACGGGUGAGAAAUGUCUGGAAACCUGCCUUAUGGAGGGGGAUAAUUACUGGAACCGGUAGCUAAUACCGCAUACCAUCCGAUGUGCCCUGAUGGGAUUCGCUUGUGGGUGGGGUAACGGCUCACCAAGGCCACGAUCCCUAGCUGGUCUGAGAGGGUGACCGGCCACACUGGAACGGAGACACGGUCCAGACUCCUACGGGAGGCAGCAGUAGGGAAUCUUGCGCAAUGGGCGAAAGCCUGAUGCAGCCAUGCCGCGUGUAUGAAGAAGGCCUUCGGGUUGUAAAAUACUUUCAGCAGGGAAGCGUUACCUAAAGAGGAAGCACCGGCUAACUACGUGCCAGCAGCCGCGGUAAUAC
rnacentral:rRNA from 1 species